ACGAAAAAUAACGAUACGGGACUCAUCCGAGGCCCCGUAAUCGGAAUGAGUACACUCUAAACCCUUUAACGAGGAUCAAUUGGAGGGCAAGUCUGGUGCCAGCAGCCGCGGUAAUUCCAGCUCCAAUAGCGUAUAUUAAAGUUGUUGCGGUUAAAAAGCUCGUAGUCGAAUUUGUGUCCCGCGCCGCCGGUUCAUCGCUCGCGGUGUCAACUGGCGUGUCCGCGGGACGUCCUGCCGGUGGGCUUAGCCCCUCGCGGGCGGCCCAAUCUCAAUCCCGUCGCGGUGCUCUUCACUGAGUGUCGAGGCGGGCCGGCACGUUUACUUUGAACAAAUUAGAGUGCUUAAAGCAGGCUAAAACAUCGCCUGAAUACUGUGUGCAUGGAAUAAUGGAAUAGGACCUCGGUUCUAUUUUGUUGGUUUUCGGAACCCCGAGGUAAUGAUUAAUAGGAACGGAUGGGGGCAUUCGUAUUGCGACGUUAGAGGUGAAAUUCUUGGAUCGUCGCAAGACGGACAGAAGCGAAAGCAUUUGCCAAAAACGCUUUCAUUGAUCAAGAACGAAAGUUAGAGGUUCGAAGGCGAUCAGAUACCGCCCUAGUUCUAACCAUAAACGAUGCCAGCUAGCGAUCCGCCGACGUUCCUCCGAUGACUCGGCGGGCAGCUUCCGGGAAACCAAAGCUUUUGGGUUCCGGGGGAAGUAUGGUUGCAAAGCUGAAACUUAAAGGAAUUGACGGAAGGGCACCACCAGGAGUGGAGCCUGCGGCUUAAUUUGACUCAACACGGGAAACCUCACCAGGCCCGGACACCGGAAGGAUUGACAGAUUGAGAGC
rnacentral:rRNA from 2 species